rnacentral:rRNA from 1 species
GUGAGGAAUUUUCCGCAAUGGGCGAAAGCCUGACGGAGCAAUGCCGCGUGAAGGAUGAAGGCCUAUGGGUUGUAAACUUCUUUUCUCAGAAAAGAAUUAUGACGGUAUCUGAGGAAAAGCAUCGGCUAACUCUGUGCCAGCAGCCGCGGUAAGACAGAGGAUGCAAGCGUUAUCCGGAAUGAUUGGGCGUAAAGCGUCUGUAGGUUGUUUAAAAAGUAUUCUGUCAAAGAUUAGGGCUUAACCCUAGAUAGGCAGAAUAAACUUUUAAGCUAGAGUUUGGUAGAGGCAGAGGGAAUUCCCGGUGGAGCGGUGAAAUGCGUAGAUAUCGGGAGGAACACCAAAGGCGAAGGCACUCUGCUGGGCCAAUACUAACACUGAGAGACGAAAGCGAGGGGAGCAAAUGGGAUUAGAUACCCCUGUAGUCC